rnacentral:lncRNA from 1 species
AUGCAGAUUUAAUCGCGAGGCAGUGCUCUCAGUACUUAAGAACAUGCACAGUGCACAGUGAAUGAAAAUUUUUCACACAUGGUUUCUCCCUCCACAAAGAAAAUUUCCUAUACUUUUUUGUUGUUGUUCUUGAUUUUUCAGCUCAACAAAAGAAUGGAGAUCUGGCUUUGGAAAGUAAGCGCUUGGAAAGAAGCCACAGAUGUCAACAAGCCUAGGCCUGCUUUCUCAUCCACAAAGCAAUGAAUUUAUUUUCUUUAACUUUGUGCUAAGCAAUAUGUGUGGAGAAACAGACCCUGGGUUCGUGUGAAAUAGGAACUGAAAUGGAUUGCUAAUCAGCAUUGUGAGUUAUGCUCAGGGAUACUCUGAGUGUAUUUUACUGACCCCAAGGAGAAAACAACAACAAAAAUGUACAUCUAAGAGAGCUGGUGGAUGAACAUAGGUGUGGGCAGCCCUUCAAUGUCGGUGGACCAAGACUGGUCCGACAAAAUGCCUCCUUCAAGUGUUUGCCUCAAAACAGAAUGUUUCAGGAGACAAAGACAUGUUCUCCCUCUUGGAGAAGAGUGGGAAUCAGAGGGCAACUGGGAAACUCAGCAAAGAAAACCCUAAAAGGUUAUCUCCUCUCUGCUUAAUCAUUCCCUGGUGACUCAGAUGGCAAACAAUCUGCCUGCAAUGCAAGAGACCCAGGUUUGAUCCCUGGGGCAGGAAGAUCCCCCUGGAGAGGGGAAUGGCUACCCGCAGUGAACCAUCAUGUUGUGCUUAAAUUUCAAACAUUUCACAUAGUUUUUCAGUCCUGAGGGCAUAUAUUAUUGAAAUAAUCAAAUUCUUUAAAUGAAAGAAAAUUUUAUCACAGUGCUUCCUUUUUUUGUGACAAAAAAGAAAAUAAACUAAAUUUGUAAAAUUAC